GUGGAGAUCUGGAUCCUGACCUGUGGCCUGAUUUCCAAGCUUGACCCUAGAUGUGCCUUGUAAUUGUGGGCCCAACUGGAGAUCAGCGGCUGUGUCUGACUCUAGUAUCCUUCAGCACACCUGCUCCUCACCCAUGGACACACUUCUAGGCUUGACUUUGGACCUGCCUUGUCACCAUGAACUUGCCUGGUGGUGUGGCCUCCUGGUGGAACUUGGCUGCCAUCUCCAGGCAAGCCAAGCCUGCCCCCUCGUUUGGUUACUGGGGAUGAGGCYCUGGCUGGUGAGAUCUUCUGCUGACUCCCUGUCCCAUUGGGAACAUCUGGCCUUCACCGUUCCCUGGCAUACGGAGCAUAAAUGCAGGACAGAGGAGCUGCCUGCAGAGACAUCAGAUCUGAGAAAAUUAAAAAAGAAAAAGCAAGUGUGUGAAGAGCUGCAACAGUAAAGAGCAUGUGAAAACAAGAUGCAGAAACCAAGAAUUAUGUGCUUCCAGGAAAUGGGUAGAAGGAAGCUUAUGAGUAAAGGAUUCUGAAGAUCUGCUGCAAGACCCAAGUGAAGCAAUUCUUCCUAYGAAACAAAUCGUGAAGGAAAGCAAGAUAUGGCUUCUAUUUAAUAAUUUCC